CAUUAUUUUUCCUUCUGGACUUUAAACUCCUUAAGAGAAAGGUGCAUUUGAUUCAUCUCCAGUCUGUGUUGGAUUGUUGUACUUUGAAAGUACUUGGAUGACCUCCAGACUCCAUGUUUUAAUCAUCUGGAAAUUGCAUGCUGAUACUGACUUCAUGGUGGGGAAGGAUGUGGCUUUCAGCUACUUCUCCAGCACCAAGCCUGCUUGCCACCAUGCUUCUUAUGAUGAUAACAGGUUCACCUCUAAAGCG